UCUUCCCUGCGGUGUACGCAAAGGCAUAUAUUCCUUUGAACCAAUAAGUUCGCUCCAGGUUGCCGGGAGCAGUAGUGGGCGCGAGCGUCCUUCAACGGAUGCACCCGAAACUACCCGAGGCGACCGCCUUGUCCUCAAGGUUCAAGCGAAUCCGGCCCAAACGUCAUCAGCGGGGAACCC
rnacentral:other from 2 species